ensembl:lncRNA
UGUUCCUUUAAUUUUCACCUUUAUAUCCUAUUACUUUGCAAAAAAAAAAAAGACCCUAUUUUUUUCUUCUUCAACAAACUUCAUAUAUAUAUAUUUUAUAAUUUUUUGACCUUGUUUUUUUUUUGUUUGUUUUUGUUUUUUUCUUCUUUUCUUUAACAUUGUAUUUUUGAAAUUCUAAACUCUACUCUAGAUUUUUAAUUUUCGCUUUUUGGUAUAUGUUAUCAAUUUUGUACCUAUAGUUUUUUUUUAUAUAAUUUCUGUGACUUUUUUUUUUUUUUCUUCUUCUCUGUUUCUUUCUCUUCUUCUUUUAUAUAACAUUGUAUAACUGAAAUUCCAAACUUUACUCUAGAUUUUUAAUUUAUGCUUUUUGGUAUUUGAUAUCAAUUUUGUACCUGUAUUUUCUUUAUAAUUUUUGUGACAUUGUUCAUAUUUGUUUGUUUGUUUUCUCUCUUUAUUUUUCUUCUUUUUUUUUUUUUUUUUAACAUUGUAUUUUUGAAAUUCCAAACUCUACUCUAGAUUUUUAAUUUUUGCUUUCUGGUAUUAGUUAUCAAUUUUGUACUUGUACUUUCUUUAUAAUUUUCACGACCUUGUUUGUUUUUGUUUGUUCGUUUUUUCUCUCUUUCUUUUCCUUCUUCUUUUCUUUAACAUCAUAUUUCUGAAAUUCCAAACUCUACUCUAGAUUUUUAAUUUUCGCUUUCUGGUAUUAGCUAUCAAUUUUGUACCUGUACUUUCUCUAUAAUUUUCGCGACCUUGUUUGUUUUUGUUUGUUCGUUCUUUCUCUCUUUCUUUUCCUUCUUCUUUUCUUUAACAUCGUAUUUUUGAAAUUCCAAACUCUACUCUAGAUUUUUAAUUUUUGCUUUUAUGUAUUUGUUACCAAUUUUGUACCUAUAAGGACCCAAUCUUCAGGACCCAUUUUUCACUAGGGAGUGAGAUUACUGGCUUGACUGCUCUCUCUCCCUUUGGACCCUCCUUUUUCUCCACCAGGUCGCCUGUGUCUCCUCCCUAAACCCUCUCUACUCUACCCAACUCUGUGAAUUUCUGUGUGUUCCAGACGGUGGAGAACACUUAGGGAACGGAUUACUGGCUGGAUCUGUCUCCCUCCUUUUCAUUCCCCCCUUUUAUCCUUCUGGCCACCUCUGUUACCUUCCUCCUUCUUCUCUUCUCUGUAUAACCCCGUGAACAUCUCUGAGUGGUCCAGUUGUGGAGUGCACAUAAGGAAGUGACUACUGGCUAGCCCACUCUCUCCACUAUUGAUUCACCUCAUCUCAUUUGGGUCACCUCUAACUCCCUCCUCCCUCUUCUCUUCUCCAUGUAACCCUGUGAACCUCUCUGAGUGAAGUUUUGAAACUACUGUAAAAAUAAGACCGAUAAUCGGAAGCACGAGACUUAAGUCCAAACCCUGACUCCAGGGAACUCCUGACUGCAAGGAACAUUCAUUGACAGGAGCUCAUCAAAUGCCUCCAUACCGACACUGAAACCAAGAACCACACAAGGGCCAAUAAGUUCCAGGGCAAGACAUACCAAGCAAAUUCUCCAGCAACAAAGGAACACAGCCCUGA